rnacentral:tRNA from 1 species
GUGGGUGCAGCUCAGUGGUAAAGUACAUGCAUAGCAUGCAUGAGGUCCUGGGUUCGAUCCCCAGCAUCUCCG